UACGUAGGGUGCGAGCGUUAAUCGGAAUUACUGGGCGUAAAGCGUGCGCAGGCGGUUCGUUGUGUCGGCGGUGAAAUCCCCGGGCUCAACCUGGGAAUGGCCGUUGAAACUGGCGAACUGGAGUGUGGCAGAGGGGGGUGGAAUUCCGCGUGUAGCAGUGAAAUGCGUAGAUAUGCGGAGGAACACCGAUGGCGAAGGCAAUCCCCUGGACCUGUACUGACGCUCAUGCACGAAAGCGUGGGGAGCAAACAGG
rnacentral:rRNA from 1 species